UCCGAGUUGACCCCGGCAGUCUCCUAUGAGUCCCCACCAUUACGUGCUGGCAACAUAGGACGAGGGUUGCGCUCGUUGGGGGACUUAACCCAACAUCUCACGACACGAGCUGACGACAACCAUGCACCACCUGUACAGGGCCCUUGCGGACCCCGUAUCUCUACGAGAUUUCCCUGCAUGUCAAGCCUUGGUAAGGUUCUUCGCGUUGCGUCGAAUUAAGCCACAUGCUCCGCCGCUUGUGCGGGCCCCCGUCAAUUCCUUUGAGUUUUAAUCUUGCGACCGUACUCCCCAGGCGGGAUGCUUAAAGCGUUAGCUGCGCCACUGACGAGCAAGCUCGCCAACGGCUAGCAUCCAUCGUUUACGGCGUGGACUAC
rnacentral:misc_RNA from 1 species